CCUACGGGUUGCAGCAGUGGGGAAUAUUGGACAAUGGGCGAAAGCCUGAUCCAGCAAUGCCGCGUGUGUGGAGAAGGUCUUCGGAUUGUAAAGCACUUUCGACGGGGACGAUGAUGACGGUACCCGUAGAAGAAGCCCCGGCCAACUUCGUGCCAGCAGCCGCGGUAAUACGAAGGGGGCUAGCGUUGCUCGGAAUGGCUGGGCGUAAAGGGCGCGUAGGCGGUUUAUGCAGUCAGAUGUGAAAUCCCCGGGCUUAACCUGGGAACUGCAUUUGAGACGCAUAGACUAGAGGUCGAGAGGGUUGUGGAAUUCCCAGUGUAGAGGUGAGAUUCGUAGAUAUUGGGAAGAACACCGGUGGCGAAGGCGGCAACCUGGCUCGAUACUGACGCUGAGGCGCGAAAGCGUGGGGAGCAAACAGGAUUAGAUACCCCAGUAGUC
rnacentral:rRNA from 1 species